GAUGAAGAACGUAGCGAAAUGCGAUAAGUAAUGUGAAUUGCAGAAUUCAGUGAAUCAUCGAAUCUUUGAACGCACAUUGCGCCCCUUGGUAUUCCGAGGGGCAUGCCUGUUCGAGCGUCAUUAUAACCCUCAAGCUCAGCUUGGUGUUGGGGCCUGCUGCACUGGCAGCCCUUAAAAUCAGUGGCGGCGCCAUCUGGCUCUAAGCGUAGUAAUUCUUCUCGCUGUUGAGCUCCGGUGGUCGCCCGCCAGCAACCCCCAACUUUUACAGUUUGACCUGGGAUGAGGUAGGGAUACCCGCUGAACUUAAGCAUAUCAAUAAGCGGAGGA
rnacentral:misc_RNA from 1 species